rnacentral:rRNA from 1 species
AAUGGACGAAAGUCUGACCGAGCGACGCCGCGUGCGGGAUGAAGGCCUUCGGGUUGUAAACCGCUGUCAGAGGGGAGCAAAUUUUGAGCAAUCCUCAGAGGAAGCACAGGCUAAGUUCGUGCCAGCAGCCGCGGUAAUACGAACUGUGCAAACGUUAUUCGGAAUCACUGGGCUUAAAGGGUGCGUAGGCGGCUAUGUAGGUCUGAUGUGAAAUCCCACGGCUCAACCGUGGAACUGCGUUGGAAACCAUGUAGCUUGAGGGAGACAGAGGAAAGCGGAACUGAUGGUGGAGCGGUGAAAUGCGCUGAGAUCAUCAGGAACACCGGUGGUGAAAGCGGCUUUCUGGGUCUCUUCUGACGCUGAGGCACGAAAGCUAGGGGAGCGAACGGGAUU